CCUACGGGAGGCAGCAGUGGGGAAUAUUGGACAAUGGGCGAAAGCCUGAUCCAGCAAUGCCGCGUGAGUGAUGAAGGCCUUCGGGUCGUAAAGCUCUUUUACCAGGGAUGAUAAUGACAGUACCUGGAGAAUAAGCUCCGGCUAACUCCGUGCCAGCAGCCGCGGUAAUACGGAGGGAGCUAGCGUUGUUCGGAAUUACUGGGCGUAAAGAGUACGUAGGCGGUUAUUCAAGUCAGAGGUGAAAGCCCGGGGCUCAACCCCGGAACUGCCUUUGAAACUAGAUAACUAGAGUCUUGGAGAGGUUAGUGGAAUUCCGAGUGUAGAGGUGAAAUUCGUAGAUAUUCGGAAGAACACCAGUGGCGAAGGCGACUAACUGGACAAGUACUGACGCUGAGGUACGAAAGCGUGGGGAGCAAACAGGAUUAGAUACCCUGGUAGUCCACGCCGUAAACGAUGGUAACUAGUUGUUCGGUCACUUGGUGACUGAGUGACGCAGCUAACGCAUUAAGUUAUCCGCCUGGGGAGUACGGUCGCAAGAUUAAAACUCAAAGGAAUUGACGGCUGAGACNGCGAGACGACACGAGGAGAG
rnacentral:rRNA from 1 species